rnacentral:tRNA from 1 species
GUCUUCGUGGCUCAGUUGGUCUAGAGCGUUGGUCUCAUAUUCGUAUGAUCCGAUCUAAGGUCGGGCUAUCCAAAGGUCGUGAGUUCGAGCCUCACCGAGGACA